rnacentral:rRNA from 1 species
AUUGAACGCUGGCGGCAGGCCUAACACAUGCAAGUCGAACGAGUGGCGGACGGGUGAGUAAUGUCUGGGAAACUGCCCGAUGGAGGGGGAUAACUACUGGAAACGGUAGCUAAUACCGCAUACCAUCGGAUGUGCCCAGAUGGGAUUAGCUAGUAGGUGGGGUAACGGCUAACCUAGGCGACGAUCCCUAGCUGGGCUGAGAGGAGGACCGGCCACACUGGAAUGGAGACACGGUCCAGACUCCUACGGGAGGCAGCAGUGGGGAAUAUUGCACAAUGGGGGCAAGCCGGAUGCAGCCAGGCCGCGUGUAUGAAGAAGGCCUUCGGGUUGUAAAGUACGUUCAGCGGGGAGGCGUUACCCGAAGAAGAAGCACCGGCUAACUCCGUGCCAGCCGCCGCGGUAAUAC